rnacentral:rRNA from 1 species
GGUCCCGCCUGCCCAGUGAAACAUUUUAAACGGCCGCGGUAUCCUAACCGUGCAAAGGUAGCGUAAUCACUUGUCUUCUAAAUAAAGACUAGUAUGAACGGCUAAAUGAGGACAAAACUGUCUCUUACAGCUAAUCAGUGAAACUGAUCUCCCAGUACAAAAGCUGGGAUAAAAUCAUAAGACGAGAAGACCCUGUGGAGCUUUAAACUAACCGCUAAUAAACACUUACAAUCAUGUUCCUAGCCUGAAGUUUUAAGUUGGGGCGACUUCGGAACAAAAUAAAACUUCCGAGCACAGAACCACCGCUUCUCACCAAGGCUAACAAGCCGAAGCAAAACCCGACCCAGUCACACUGACCAACGAACCAAGUUACCCCAGGGAUAACAGCGCUAUCUUCUUCAAGAGUCCCUAUCGACAAGAAGGUUUACGACCUCGAUGUUGGAUCAGGACACCCAAAUGGUGCAGCCGCUAUUAAAGGUUCGUUUGUUCAACGAUU